CGACGGUGAGGGGUGAAAGCUGGGGGAGCAAACCGGAUUAGAUACCCGGGUAGUCCCAGCUGUAAACUAUGCAAACUCAGUGAUGCAUUGGCUUGUGGCCAAUGCAGUGCUGCAGGGAAGCCGUUAAGUUUGCCGCCUGGGAAGUACGUACGCAAGUAUGAAACUUAAAGGAAUUGGCGGGGGAGCACCACAAGGGGUGAAGCCUGCGGUUCAAUUGGAGUCAACGCCAGAAAUCUUACCCGGAGAGACAGCAGAAUGAAGGUCAAGCUGAAGACUUUACCAGACAAGCUGAGAGGUGGUGCAUGGCCGUCGCCAGCUCGUGCCGUGAGAUGUCCUGUUAAGUCAGGUAACGAGCGAGAUCCCUGCCUCUAGUUGCCACCAUUACUCUCAGGAGUAGUGGGGCGAAUUAGCGGGACCGCCGCAGUUAAUGCGGAGGAAGGAAGGGGCCACGGCAGGUCAGUAUGCCCCGAAACUCUGGGGCCACACGCGGGCUGCAAUGGUAACGACAAUUGGUUUCGAAUCCGAAAGGAUGAGGUAAUCCUCAAACGUUACCACAGUUAUGACUGAGGGCUGCAACUCGCCCUCACGAAUAUGGAAUCCCUAGUAACUGCGUGUCAUUAUCGCGCGGUGAAUACGUCCCUGCUCCUUGCACACACCGCCCGU
rnacentral:rRNA from 1 species